rnacentral:rRNA from 1 species
GGGGAAUCUUCCGCAAUGGACGAAAGUCUGACGGAGCAACGCCGCGUGAGUGAUGACGGCCUUCGGGUUGUAAAGCUCUGUUAAUCGGGACGAAAGGCUUUCUUGCGAAUAGUUAGAAGGAUUGACGGUACCGGAAUAGAAAGCCACGGCUAACUACGUGCCAGCAGCCGCGGUAAUACGUAGGUGGCAAGCGUUGUCCGGAAUUAUUGGGCGUAAAGCGCGCGCAGGCGGAUUGGUCAGUCUGUCUUAAAAGUUCGGGGCUUAACCCCGUGAUGGGAUGGAAACUGCUGAUCUAGAGUAUCGGAGAGGAAAGUGGAAUUCCUAGUGUAACGGUGAAAUGCGUAGAUAUUAGGAAGAACACCAGUGGCGAAGGCGACUUUCUGGACGAAAACUGACGCUGAGGCGCGAAAGCCAGGGGAGUGAACGGGAUUAGAUACCCCGGUAGUCCUGGCCGUAAACGAUGGGUACUAGGUGUAGGAGGUAUCGACCCCUUCUGUGCCGGAGUUAACGCAAUAAGUACCCCGCCUGGGGAGUACGACCGCAAGGUUG